GGAGGGUAUAGCUCAGUGGUACAGCGCGUGCUUAGCAUGCACGAGGUCCUGGGUUCAAUCCCCAGUACCUCCA
rnacentral:tRNA from 1 species